UACAGAGGUCUCAAGCGUUGUUCGGAUUCAUUGGGCGUAAAGGGCGUGUAGGUGGCGCUGUAAGUCGGGUGUGAAAUCUCGGGGCUUAACUCCGAAACUGCAUUCGAUACUGCGGUGCUUGAGGACUGGAGAGGAGACUGGAAUUCAUGGUGUAGCAGUGAAAUGCGUAGAGAUCAUGAGGAAGACCAGUGGCGAAGGCGGGUCUCUGGACAGUUCCUGACACUGAGACACGAAGGCCAGGGGAGCAAACGGG
rnacentral:rRNA from 1 species